rfam:Puccinia graminis f. sp. tritici CRL 75-36-700-3 supercont2.1 genomic scaffold, whole genome shotgun sequence.
GGUCGAUUAGCUCAGUCGGUUAGAGCGCCGUACUAAUACCUCGGGUUCCGAAGCCGUUUCGGACCAGUACAUGCGGAUGUCAUGGGUUCGACCCCCAUAUUGACCA